rnacentral:rRNA from 1 species
CAGUCGCCGCGGGAAUACAGAGGGUGCGAGCGUUGUCCGGAAUUAUUGGGCGUAAAGAGCUCGUAGGCGGUCUGUCGCGUCUGGUGUGAAAUCCCGAGGCUCAACCUCGGGCUUGCAUCGGGUACGGGCAGACUAGAGUGCGGUAGGGGAGACUGGAAUUCCUGGUGUAGCGGUGGAAUGCGCAGAUAUCAGGAGGAACACCGAUGGCGAAGGCAGGUCUCUGGGCCGCAACUGACGCUGAGGAGCGAAAGCAUGGGGAGCGAACAGGAUUAGAUACCCGGGUAGUCCCUGUCUCUUAUAC